CCCUUUGGGGUGUGACUGCGUACCUUUUGUAUAAUGGGUCAGCGACUUAUAUUCUGUAGCAAGGUUAACCGAAUAGGGGAGCCGGAGGGAAACCGAGUCUUAACCGGGCGUUAAGUUGCAGGGUAUAGACCCGAAACCCGGUGAUCUAGCCAUGGGCAGGUUGAAGGUUGGGUAACACUAACUGGAGGACCGAACCGACUAAUGUUGAAAAAUUAGCGGAUGACCUGUGGCUGGGGGUGAAAGGCCAAUCAAACCGGGAGAUAGCUGGUUCUCCCCGAAAGCUAUUUAGGUAGCGCCUCGUGAAUUCAUCUCCGGGGGUAGAGCACUGUUUCGGCUAGGGGGCCAUCCCGGCUUACCAACCCGAUGCAAACUGCGAAUACCGGAGAAUGUUAUCACGGGAGACACACGGCGGGUGCUAACGUCCGUCGUGAAGAGGGAAACAACCCAGACCGCCAGCUAAGGUCCCAAAGUCAUGGUUAAGUGGGAAACGAUGUGGGAAGGCCCAGACAGCCAGGAUGUUGGCUUAGAAGCAGCCAUCAUUUAAAGAAAGCGUAAUAGCUCACUGGUCGAGUCGGCCUGCGCGGAAGAUGUAACGGGGCUAAACCAUGCACCGAAGCUGCGGCAGCGACGCUGAUGCGUUGUUGGGUAGGGGAGCGUUCUGUAAGCCUGUGAAGGUGGCCUGUGAGGGUUGCUGGAGGUAUCAGAAGUGCGAAUGCUGACAUAAGUAACGAUAAAGCGGGUGAAAAGCCCGCUCGCCGGAAGACCAAGGGUUCCUGUCCAACGUUAAUCGGGGCAGGGUGAGUCGACCCCUAAGGCGAGGCCGAAAGGCGUAGUCGAUGGGAAACGGGUUAAUAUUCCCGUACUUGGUGUUACUGCGAAGGGGGGACGGAGAAGGCUAUGUUGGCCGGGCGACGGUUGUCCCGGUUUAAGCGUGUAGGUGUGUGUUCCAGGUAAAUCCGGUUCACUUUAACACUGAGGCGUGAUGACGAGGCACUACGGUGCUGAAGCAACAAAUGCCCUGCUUCCAGGAAAAGCCUCUAAGCAUCAGGUAACAUCAAAUCGUACCCCAAACCGACACAGGUGGUCAGGUAGAGAAUACCAAGGCGCUUGAGAGAACUCGGGUGAAGGAACUAGGCAAAAUGGUGCCGUAACU
rnacentral:rRNA from 1 species